CGCAAGCCUGACGGAGCAAGACCGCGUGGGGGAGGAAUGCCUUAGGGUUGUAAACCCCUUUUAUCUGGGAAGAACAAAAUGACGGUACCAGAUGAAUAAGCAUCGGCUAACUCCGUGCCAGCAGCCGCGGUAAGACGGAGGAUGCAAGUGUUAUCCGGAAUCACUGGGCGUAAAGCGUCUGUAGGUGGUUUAAUAAGUCAACUGUUAAAUCUUGAGGCUCAACUUCAAAAUCGCAGUCGAAACUAUUAGACUAGAGUAUAGUAGAGGUAAAGGGAAUUUCCAGUGGAGCGGUGAAAUGCGUAGAUAUUGGAAAGAACACCGAUGGCGAAAGCACUUUACUGGGCUAUUACUAACACUCAGAGACGAAAGCUAGGGUAGCA
rnacentral:rRNA from 1 species